UACGGAGGGUGCGAGCGUUAAUCGGAAUUACUGGGCGUAAAGCGCACGCAGGCGGUCUGUUAAGCUAGAUGUGAAAGCCCCGGGCUCAACCUGGGAUGGUCAUUUAGAACUGGCAGACUAGAGUCUUGGAGAGGGGAGUGGAAUUCCAGGUGUAGCGGUGAAAUGCGUAGAUAUCUGGAGGAACAUCAGUGGCGAAGGCGACUCCCUGGCCAAAGACUGACGCUCAUGUGCGAAAGUGUGGGUAGCGAACAGG
rnacentral:rRNA from 1 species